UCCCCUCAUCUGUGGUAGGACUUUGUGCA
rnacentral:piRNA from 1 species